GCAUAUCAAUAAGCGGAGGAAAAGAAACCCAACAGGGAUUGCCCCAGUAACGGCGAGUGAAGCGGCAACAGCUCAAAUUUGAAAUCUGGCCCUCGCGGGCCCGAGUUGUAAUUUGUAGAGGAUGCUUUUGGUGAGGCGCCGCCCGAGUUCCCUGGAACGGGACGCCAUAGAGGGUGAGAGCCCCGUCUGGCUGGCCGCCGAGCCUCUGUAAAGCUCCUUCGACGAGUCGAGUAGUUUGGGAAUGCUGCUCAAAAUGGGAGGUAUAUGUCUUCUAAAGCUAAAUAUUGGCCAGAGACCGAUAGCGCACAAGUAGAGUGAUCGAAAGAUGAAAAGCACUUUGAAAAGAGGGUUAAACAGUACGUGAAAUUGUUGAAAGGGAAGCGCUCGUGACCAGACUUGGGCUUGGCGAAUCAUCCAGGGUUCUCCCUGGUGCACUUUGCCUCGCUCAGGCCAGCAUCAGUUCGCCGCGGGGGACAAAGGCUUCGGGAAUGUGGCUCCUCCGGGAGUGUUAUAGCCCGUUGCGUAAUACCCUGGGGCGGACUGAGGUUCGCGCAUCUGCAAGGAUGCUGGCGUAAUGGUCAUCGGCGACCCGUCUUGAAACACGGACCAAGGAGUCGUCUUCGUAUGCGAGUGUUCGGGUGUCAAACCCCUACGCGUAAUGAAAGUGAACGCAGGUGAGAGCUUCGGCGCAUCAUCGACCGAUCCUGAUGUUCUCGGAUGGAUUUGAGUAAGAGCAUACGGGGCCGGACCCGAAAGAAGGUGAACUAUGCCUGUAUAGGGUGAAGCCAGAGGAAACUCUGGUGGAGGCUCGCAGCGGUUCUGACGUGCAAAUCGAUCGUCAAAUAUGGGCAUGGGGGGCGAAAGACUAAUCGAACCUUCUAGUAGCUGGGUUCCGCCGAG
rnacentral:rRNA from 1 species